rnacentral:lncRNA from 1 species
GCCAGCCACAUGGAGAAUUUACCGGUAGGAUAGAGGAUCGGAUAAGCAAUUUAUCGGUACAGUUUUUUUAAUCAUUUAUUAUUGAUAUAGUUGGUGAGCUGUUAUGCUUCGCGUAGUUUAUACUGUGACUUUCAUGUACAAAAUACAACAGAUUGCUAGCACAUCUGUACUGGCGUAUAUAUAUAUAUAGUAUAGGCCUAAAGUUUUUUUGUAACUCUAUUCUUUUGUUUGUCCUCCUUAUUUUUGAAAUAUUUGAAGCAGAGUCUUUUUAUUUUUGAAGUAUUUGAAACAGAGUUAGCACUAUGCACAAGUUUGAGUUACACAAACAGAUGGGGUUGAUUUCACGGCUGGAAGCAUUGCCAAUUUACUCAGUGAAAACGUGAAUGAAAAUUAAACCAAGAGAUACAAAAAAGAUAAAAUGACAUAGAUUCGACCUCAAAUUAAUCUGAAAUGCUGGCCAGUGUGGUGAGGCAGACAAAGUAAAAAUGACCUUUUGCUUCGAAAGAUAUAUCAGGUUUGGAAAGGUAUAAGGAAGCUAGAUUUUUUUUCUUGAUAUUUUUCUAUAUAAUUUUUAUGUAGUCAUGAAGGACUCACACAACGUUUCAUUCUACAAUACAGAAUGUUUUUGCUAAGCAAAUUAUAUUACAUAGAGUUUACCAUGUAUGGAAUUUAUAAUAUAAUUAUAAAAUAGGUCUUGUAAAUUUAAGAAGGCAAUGUAGGAUUGUCACUUAAGAUACCCUUGGAUUUAAUCUUUGAGUAACUUAAUAAAUAGCUCGAUCGGAGUUUUAUUCAGACCAGACAAUCAUACCGUUUUUUAUGCAACAGGAGGGGUUGAUAAUAUAUUUAAAAAGCAAAAAAAAAUUGUCCACUCUAAAAACAUCAGGAGACAAAAAAAGGAAACAAAGGAAAUAAAGAAUUAUACAAGGUUUCUCUAGACAUUAUUCAGUUUGGGGGAAUUAUUUCUUCUUUGCUUGAUGUAUAACCUGGGUAAAAAUAAUCCUUCUUGAAAACUACUUUUCAACUUGCAAGACUGAGCUGAAUUCCACAAAAAAUGAGGUAAUUAUAUUUCUCGAUGGCCUAAUAGCCCAACUCAUGAGAAUACUCAUUUCCACGAAGGAACUCCUGAUUAUAAUACAAAGCUUUCCAGUCCAUCAAAAAGGGCUAAAACUACAUUUAAUACACAUUCGUACUUGAGGACCUUCGUAUUUUUCCUCUUGUACUCAAUAUAAUAUGUCUUUGAACAGAUGCCAGAAGAAAGCCUUAUGUGUUAUGCUGGCAUUUUGACUUCCAAAUCUAUUUAAAAGGAGGUGCACAAGAGCACGUCCAAUAAAUUGAGGCCACCAUCUAUCAAUACAUGUCUAGCUUACACAGUCGGUAGCCUCAGAUUAAAGUUGUGUUCCACGUAUGCAAGAGCUAAAUUGAGACCACCAUCUAUCAAUACAUGUCUAGCUUUUUCCUCUGACCUGCGGAGCAAAAAGGAGGUGCAUGCAGGAGCUCUUUCCUCCUCUCUCUGCUCUCAAGCGUACACUUUAUUCCCACAACUCGCGCUCUAGCAAUAGCUUCAGUCUUGUGUCAGACAAAACCACCGGUACUUCUGCAAGUCUCUCUGAGCACCACUCUACGUGACAUGGAACUUCCAAGUGGACGUGGAGGCUGGGGCACCGUGGUGCGUUGGGCCUACUCUAAAGAGAUUAGUCGGCCUUGGCUGAUGUGUAAGGUGAGAUUCCCAAGUGUAAUGCCAUCAAUCUGACUAUUGCAACAAGAUAACUUCCUGCAUCUUUCGUAGUGUCUAAAGUUGCCCGAAUGCUUUUGCUAACAGUGGGGAUGGAAGAAUCAAUAUAGGGAUUCUAUUCCUCUGGUUUUAUGAGGAGUUAUUUUCUUGUCCUUUGCAAACGAAAAAAAGCUCCGGAUAAGAUUGGCUUGGAACAACCAUACUCUUUGAUUUCGAAUUUGAUAAAUAACUAUUGAUAUCAUGUUGCAAAGACCGGUUGGUUUCCAUCUAUCAUGAUUGAUAUUCCCGGUAUCCCAAAUUACUAUUUAUUUUAACUUUUUAGGUAUAUGACUUUUGAUAUGGAUCUAGAUAUAUACUAUGUCUAAAUACAUAGUAAAAAUUUGUAUUCAGAAAACUAACCUGAAUAGUAUUUUGGAAUGGAGAGAGUAGUAUUUAAUUUUUUUUCGGAGAUUCUAUCUCCAAGUUUAAAAUUAAUCCUCAGCCACCAAGAUCUUUUUUUAAAAAAUAUUUCGGAUGGUUUGAGAGACCGAGCGGUGUGACAGUGUGAAAGCAGUCUGUUAGGAAAAAAAAAAUCCAUGACAGUCGUCCAGCAUGAGGGCGGGGGAAGGGGUCAAACCGUCAACUCGAUUGGGCCCCAUCCACGUGUGUCUGCUGUCGCAUGGUGCCACUGCCUGCAAGACAACGGGUGGACGUGGAGCAGCCAAAGUCAAACCGACAUUGGCUUCUCUCUUCGUUUCACACACGCC